ACAAUCAUCAUAACCCUAGUAGAUGCUGGAAUAAGUAUUCUUUUUAGUGUACUGCUUUCUUCAUACAUAGGAAAUGUAGCCAGCAGAGAGAAUGAAAACAUGACAUAUGAAUACCUAAGAACAAUCAUGUUCACAGAAGAUUAUGAUGCUGCUCCAGAGAUGACCCUGGGAUUCUUGGUGUUUCCACGACUUUUAAGUAGUCUUGACAACCUUCCUCGUCUCUGGUGUAUCAUGUUUUUCAUCAUGAUUUACAUGCUUGGCUUGGGGAGUACAAUGGCCUAUAUUGAAAACAUUCUCUCAAUAAUAAGGGAUCAGUGUACAGCG